GUCGGCCGUUUAAGCCUCCCGAAAUGCUGGGAUUUCGACAGAAAGAAGGAUGAUCUGAUCUGGCCCCAGCUGGUGCCAUCAGCUCCCCUUCAUUUGACGAGGACAGAGAGUGAUCAUCACUUCUCCCUGUGAGACCUGUCCUGGAGUGCUAGCAGACCUGACAGCCUGGACACACAAAGUCCACUACAUCUGACGGUAUAGUCUGAGGUGUGUGGUGAGACCCUGGUGCGAAGUGCAGCCCAUCAGCCCACGAAGCACUUGUCUGUCAGCCUUUGAACAUAUGAACCCAGAAGAAAACCAUGCAGAAAUGCCUCUGAGGAUGCUGGCAGCAACCGCAGCACCUUUGCACUGUGAAAAGACGCAGCAUUGGUACUGCUUCAAGGCGCUGUUCUGUGGCAGCAGAAGAGAUGAAGCCAAGGAGCCAAGAAUCCUUGUGCGCCAUCCUUCUUGCCACAUCUCUCCUCACUUGGUGCUUCAAGAGGUGCGAGCACAGCCAGAGGCUUCACGUUGCUUUCUGCUCUGACGUGAGCAUCUUCACAGGAGCUGACCCCUGAGCAAACCUCAAAGGAGGGGUAUGAGCUGUAGCAUAGCCUUGUGACUGGUGCAAAUGAGCACUGGUGAGCUGAGAUGUUUAAGAACUGCAGGACCCAGCAGAAUAAUAUAAUCGGCUAGAAAAAAUAUCAAGAGAUUAAAAUAAAGCUUGGGCUCUUUU